rnacentral:rRNA from 1 species
UCCUACGGGAGGCAGCAGUGGGGAAUAUUGCACAAUGGGCGCAAGCCUGAUGCAGCAACGCCGCGUGAGGGACGAAGGCCUUCGGGUUGUAAACCUCUUUUAGUAGGGAAGAAGCGACUGGGUUUUCCUGGGAGUGACGGUACCUGCAGAAAAAGCACCGGCUAACUACGUGCCAGCAGCCGCGGUAAUACGUAGGGUGCAAGCGUUGUCCGGAAUUAUUGGGCGUAAAGAGCUCGUAGGCGGUUUGUCGCGUCUGCUGUGAAAACCCGAGGCUCAACCUCGGGCCUGCAGUGGGUACGGGCAGACUAGAGUGCGGUAGGGGAGAUUGGAAUUCCUGGUGUAGCGGUGGAAUGCGCAGAUAUCAGGAGGAACACCAAUGGCGAAGGCAGAUCUCUGGGCCGUAACUGACGCUGAGGAGCGAAAGCAUGGGGAGCGAACAGGAUUAGAUACCCUGGUAGUCCAUGCCGUAAACGUUGGGAACUAGAUGUGGGGACCAUUCCACGGUCUCCGUGUCGCAGCUAACGCAUUAAGUUCCCCGCCUGGGGAGUACGGCCGCAAGGCUAAAACUCAAAGGAAUUGACGGGGGCCCGCACAAGCGGCGGAGCAUGCGGAUUAAUUCGAUGCAACGCGAAGAACCUUACCAAGGCUUGACAUAUACCGGAAACGGCUGGAAACAGUCGCCCCGCAAGGUCGGUAUACAGGUGGUGCAUGGUUGUCGUCAGCUCGUGUCAUGAGAUGUUGGGUUAAGUCCCGCAACGAGCGCAACCCUCGUCCUAUGUUGCCAGCACGUAAUGGUGGGAACUCAUGGGAUACUGUCGGGGUCAACUCGGAGGAAGGUGGGGAUGACGUCAAAUCAUCAUGCCCCUUAUGUCUUGGGCUUCACGCAUGCUACAAUGGCCGGUACAAAGGGCUGCGAUACCGCAAGGUGGAGCCGAAUCCAAAAAGCCGUCUCAGUUCGGAUUGAGGUCUGCAACUCGACCU